UGGAUCACCUCCUAACAGGGAGACAACACAAUGUUAAAUAUUAAUUUUGUCACCUUAGGUCGAUCGGUAUCUCACAUUCUUAAUUCAUUAAGGAUUUCAUUUCCUAAGUUUUUUCUAGGGCACACCCAUUACUUUUUCCUGGGCCAUUAGCUCAGGGGGUUAGAGCGCACCCCUGAUAAGGGUGAGGUCCCUGGUUCAAGUCCAGGAUGGCCCAUAUCUCUAUGUUGGGGGUAUAGCUCAGUUGGUAGAGCGCCUGCUUUGCAAGCAGGAUGUCAGCGGUUCGAGUCCGCUUACCUCCACUGAUCACCACCUCUUCCAUAAUUUAUAGAAGGGAAAUGUAUUGAGUUGUGAUCAAAUUCUGAACGAAUCUAGCUUCCUAAUUAUCUUUAUUAAGAUGCUGGACUCAUUGAAUUAAUUUCAUUGUUUUCAGAGAACCUUGACAACUGCAUAGAUUAUUUUUAAAGACAAUAAGCAUCUUUAAUGAUGCAGAUUUAUUAUUUGUGCGAAUGCAUUAAUAACAAUUCUAUUAAGCUGAUGCUUCAAUUUUUGAAGUUAUUGGUCAAGCUACAAAGGGCUCACGGAGGAUACCUAGGCACACAGAGGCGAUGAAGG
rnacentral:tRNA from 1 species